UCCUUAUGAGAACUUUCCUUGUGUCAGAAGAAAUGUCACACUGAUUUGCAUACUGUACUACAGGUGUUUAUCCAUUAUUUGAUUAGAAAAUUUAAAAAAGACUUACAUGGAAUAUGUAUAAACGUGCAUUAUCACAUACUAACUUACUUACCUGUUAUCAAGAGAAAACGCCUCUUAACCUUUAACAUGUGUACCAUUUGACCUUAAGCUCACUGAAGUAGUAUUAAUAAAAUAAGUCAGUAUUUAUAUCACUGUGCCUGAAAACCUGUUUCAUAAAUGCAGUUAUUUAUGAAUGGAAAGUGGUUGUAACCAUCUGUUCCAAGUUUAAUUUCAUUUAAAACUAAUGCCUCUUUAACUCUAUGUUGGUCUAAACUAAGUAAUUCAUAUUUGUUAUUUCAUAUAUUGUAUUGUUUGUGUAAAUUUCUUCCCCAAACACUCACCUAAGACUUUUUUUCAAAAAUAAAAUUGUUUAUUCAGUAAGGUACCUGCACAGGAGGUUAAAUAUUAAAGUUGUUUUUCAUGAUUUGCACUAUCCCUGCUCUGUGCUUUUUAUAUCUGUGUAACCUUACUUGGUGAAAUAUUUACCACUUACUUCUCAGAGGUGUAAAGGACCAUCCAAGUCGGAGAGAUUCCGUUUAUCACAUCCUCUUUUUUUUCCCCUUUCACUAUUCCUCAGCAUUGAUCGGAGUCCAAUUCUAGUCCAGUGAAAUGGUCUCUUCUGCUCCACGAUAUUUAAAGAUGCUGGCCUAAUACCCAGGUCUGAGACUGUUGACUUUGGUUAGAAACUAGAGAGUAUGUAGUUUUUGCAGCAAGUUGGGGGGAAAUACUUCAGCUUCCUGAUUUUAUUGUCUCUUCAGAAAUAGUGUAGCUUUGGAGUUUCCUAUGGCUAGCCCUAAGGUUCUCCUUUGCAGUUGUGUGUGAAUUUUGUUAUAUUCUAAUUCCAAGUAGGAUUUGUGCACUUCCGAUUUGAUUUAUUGAGCCAUGCCACUGCCUUCUUGUUAAGGCUAUUGAUUAUUGCCCAUUCUGUUCUGCUGUGUAUUGAUUUAGUAUGUGGCAAUGAGCUAAUUGCAUUACUUGAUGUUGAAAGAGGAUCAAACACGUUUGAGGGAGAUGCUUGUAGCCUGUUUAAUUGAGCUGGCUAUUUAGGCUUUAAACAUGUUGUGAAACAAUUAGGAGAAAGUACAGGAGGACCUCUGAGGGCAGGAAACAUAAAAUUUGUUUUCAGCAAUUUUUAGCAAUGCUAAAAAAAAGUGUGCAGUUAGUCCUUCCUGGCAUUAAAUGGUUAAUUGAUCCUUAGUUAGCAGAUGUGUAAAAGCUGGGAUUUUUCCCCUAUGUCUCUUUUGAAAAUCAAGGGAAGUAACAUCCUUAGAUGGUCGCAUUUUAUUGAGGAAAAAAAUCUCUUGUUUUUAAGAAUGGUUUCAUGUUGAAACCACAUAUUAUUGGAUACAAGUAGAAAUAACACACAGGAUGUGUGUGGGUCUGCAGGUGCUAACAUUUGGGGGGGAAAUUAAGAAAAUUAAGCUAAUGAUUAAGCUAGGAAUAGGACAAAUUCUUUUUGUCUACUUUUUGUUUCAUGUUUCUUAGCUAAAAAUAUUUUUCCAUGCAAACAAUAACAUUUAAGGUAAGGCUAAUGUUUACUUAUUUUCCUUGACAUUAAUUGAGUUUUCUAAACUUUAGAAAAAUCCACACUUAAUGUAAAAAAAUUAACCUUCAGAAUGAGAUCAUGGUACCAUGGUCCUCUAAUGAAUGUUACCUUUUGUUUUAGCAGCUCAGUUGGCUCUAAUCCAUGGAAAAGUUUUUAUUUCUGAUCCGCUCCAAGGUAGGAGCCAAACCAAAGUUAUAGAAACAUUUUCCAGCAGACAAGUUUCUACAGAUAAUAUCAGCAGUCAAAGAGUUGUGCAUUUUCCUCUCACACACACGCACGCACAUGCACGUGCACGCACACACACACGCACACACACAUACACUUACGGAAAUAUUAGAUACUAGGCUGGGAAAAAUAUUAAAAUACUGAUAAUGAUAGCAACUUCUGGGUUAAUAAAGGUGCUGUUUCUUAAUCCUUCCUAGUCACAUUAUGGCCUCAAAGUUUAAGUUUGUUUACUUUUUCAAAAUCUGUUUGCUUCUCCCUGUAUUAAUACCUUCCAGGGCUUUUUGAUCUGUAACCUUUUGCCACUACUGGUUUAUUUGCCUAGCAUAUGAUUUGUGAAAAAUGAGGGAACGUAAACAAUUAUGAGUGGCUUUUUUGAAAUGCCUAUUAAAACCCUGGCCUCAAAAGACCUGCCAGUCCAGAACUUUAAACAGAAAUGUGAAAGCUCAGCAUUAAAAGUCGGCAGCGUAUAAGAGAUGGUGCCAGUUGGACCACUUUGCUUCAAAUACCUGCUUGCCCCAAACCUUUCCUUUGUUUAGUGACCAGCCAUACUGACUGUAGGAUGCACUUAAUUCCAUGUGAGUCAACAGCUUAUGAGGCAUGCCUACUGUGUGCUAGACAGCAUCUCAGGUACUUUUCCACGCUUUCUGCACAAAGUGGAAAAGACUUGGAAAGUGUAUCCAUCCUCCACCCCUACCACUUGCCCCGCUAUCUAGACUGACGCAGUUGGAAUCUGUAAACCAAGAGAUAUGCCAGAUAUAUAUUUUUAAAAGCUAUAUGCACCUGGUUAACAACUAUUCUUUUAAUCCUACUGAGAGGUUCAGUGGAUGUAGUAUGUUUGCCGUGACUUCUCAAUCCAUAUAGAAGAUGGAUUUUUCUCCCAAGGAUAAGACCAUCUGGAAAUCUUUACCUGCUCCAGACUCUCAUAUAGGGCUGCCUUUGCUUUCUGAUUAGCAUUGUGGAUACAUUUCAAAACAUGACUUAAAAAAUGAAAUAACCUUGUCACCUACUUAAUUCCUUAUUCAUAGUUAGAAGGUGGAGUCCCUCUGAUUCGUUAACGUUCCUGCUAGCUUUCCGAUUGAAAAAUACUUUUUUCUCUCUAAAUUAACACUCCCUCUGACUUCUGUUCCCUAAAAAAAUGCUACUUGAUGUACGUGAAUUGUAAUUAGCAGGUUCCCGUUUUGUUGCAUGUCUUCCAUUUUGCUGCAUCUCCUCUAUUAAUCAUAAUAAAAUAGCAGUUGGUAAAAGAGUAAGUGUUACUUUCAAGAUUCUUACCAUGAUGUAUAUUAACAAGUGUGGCGUUCCAGUGAUGACUGGUCGACCUCAUGAUUAUUUUACUUUUGUUAAGGAUUCCAUAUGUUCACAUAUUUUAUUUCAUCUUGUUAUCUCCAAAUAACUGCAAAUAGAGGAGUCUCCAAAUUGUUCUAACAUCUUCUUUUGGAAUUUCUAACUCAUCAUGGAUUUAAAUGAACGGAAUUUUUCUUGCAAAAAAGUGGCAGUCCUCAGGCUUAGCAAAUAAAUAGACUAGCCUGGGUGGAUGUAGUUUUAUAAACUAUCAACACACGAAAGUGAUCCUAAAACUCCAAAUGUCGUUCCUUUAGAACUUUGUGCACAAAUUCUAUGUGCUGUUCUAGGAAUCAGGGGAACUUGAUGGUGAGCCUUAGCCUGUAGUAUAUUUUGACAGCAUGAAUGAGUCAAGCAAGCAGUUUUCCAGACUGUUUAAUAGUACAAAGGAAAGGGCUUCUAAGGAAGUCAUUCUUAUGACUCGCUCAAAAAUAUUUUUCUUAGUAACUGUUCUAGAGAAAAACAGGUCACUGUUGGAAGAAAAAUGAAAUCUCAAAUUACAAGCAUCCUGAAAGUGAUUUGAUCACUAAAAUGUGUUUAUCUUAUAACAGAACUCCUUAAAAGGAUACUGCUUCAUACAUUUCCAGUCAUUUAAUGAAUGUCGUCUUGAAACUCAGCAAGAAAUUAUGUAACCCCAUUGCACACUUUAACCACUUUGGCGGAACUUUGGCCUUUCUAUUUUUUGAACUUGUGUGUGUGUGUGUGUGUGUGUGUGUUUAAUUCCAUAUAAUUUAAAUAGCAUUUGUAAAACUAUAUCAUCGUAAACUUAAAGAAUGUCUUAGGUUUAUCAGGUUGCUUCAGAUUUAUUCCACUGUGUGGUUCUAAACUGCAUUUGAGUGAAAAUAGGCCUUGAUCGAUGGAAAAUCAUUUGUGGAUUUACAGAUUCUGCUCUAGGUGGUUUGAAAAGAUGCAUUGUCCAGCAGCAACUUUUCCCCCAGUGACUGUGCUCAGUGUGAGCUUGAUGGAUUCCAACCGCUGGGUUUAUCAUUACUGCAUAGAUCUUUGGAAGGACAGGCUGCAAAUCUCGUUUCCAAGCCAUGACUAGCUAUUAUGUCAAUGUGAAGAAUAGAAAUAAAAUCAAUACAGAUUAAGAAAAAAAGAUAGUCUGCAGUCAUGCACAGAUGGCAGCCAGCUUCCAAAUUGUAAUAUCCUGGCUAGUCAAGGACUCCUGAUUAUAAUGAUUUUUCAGUAUUAGGUUAGUAUUUAAGAUUUGAAAUCUAACCCAGUAACCUUAUUUUUAUUUGUAAUAUUGGAAAUGUUUCUAGCAUUUCUGAAGUAGCUUGAAAGAAAAUUGAGAGUCAUCUGUGGCUCCGCUGAAGUUUUUAACCAGAGCGACUCUUGUAGGAGAGGAAGAGUCUUUAGAGAUGGUGUCGUGCAGUCCGUUUGCUCUACAGAUUAGGAAACUUGAGGAGCCACUGGUGAGAUUAAGGCUUAAUCAUGUUCAUAAAGAUCCUGAGAUCACCAGACCCUUAAAUAUGACUGGAUAGGUCAUAGCAAAAACUGGAGUAUGAUGUCUUCGUUUUAUGAAAAAAGCAUUAUGACACAGUAGUUGAGGAUAACUACUUUUAGUGGGUCGCGUCAGUGUUACUCAUUGCUGUUAAGGUGCUUAACUUUCUUGACUAUUCUCAUGCCUCGAUUACUGGUGGCAUUAAAAGUUUAUAGUGUUUUGCUGUUUAAUAGCAGGCUCUCCAAAAAAAAAA